AAAGAAACUGGGAUUAGAUACCCCACUAUGCCCAACCGUAAACCUUAAUUUACACUCAAAUCGCCAGGGAACUACGAGCAAAGCUUAAAACCCAAAGGACUUGACGGUACCCCAUAUCCACCUAGAGGAGCCUGUCCUAUAAUCGAUAAUCCACGUUUAACCUCACCACUUUUAGCCUAUCAGCCUGUAUACCUCCGUCGUCAGCUUACCACGUGAGCGACCAUAGUGAGCUCAAUGUCCACCCACCAAAACGUCAGGUCAAGGUGCAGCUUAUAAAAUGGGAAGAGAUGGGCUACACUCUCUAAUCUAGAGAACACGAAAGACUACUUAUGAAACCUAGUCGGAAGGCGGAUUUAGAAGUAAAAGGGGACAAGAAGGCCCCUUUUAACCAGGCACUGGGGUGUGUACACACCGCCCGUCACCCUCUUCGAAGCCAAUAAAACAGUAUUUAACUCACCUAAGCAAAAUAGAAGAGGCAAGUCGUAACAUGGUAAGUAUACCGGAAGGUGUGCUUGGAAA
rnacentral:rRNA from 1 species